rnacentral:rRNA from 1 species
GGACUACCGGGGUAUCUAAUCCCGUUUGCUCCCCUAGCUUUCGCGCCUCAGCGUCAGUAUCGGGCCAGAUGAGCGCUUUCGCCACCGGUGUUCCUCCUGAUAUCUACGCAUUUCACCGCUACACCAGGAAUUCCCUCAUCCUCUCCCGUACUCAAGCCUAGCAGUAUGGGAUGCAGAUCCUCGGGUGAGCCGAGGGAUUUCACAUCCCACUUACCAGACCGCCUACACGCCCUUUACGCCCAGUGAUUCCGAACAACGCUUGCUCCCCCCGUGUUACCGCGGCUGCUGGCAC